GUCGUAACAAGGUAGCCGUACCGGAAGGUGUGGCUGGAUCACCUCCUUUUAGGGAGACCUAAUCCAUUUAGAAAUUGAGGGUGAUGAAAAUUGCCAAUAAAAACUAAAUUGGUCUAACCUAGGUCGGUCGAGAUUGGUAGAUAUCUUUCAAAGUAUUAUUUGACUUAGUUCAAAAAUUGAAUCAAAGUCAGCACCUAACAACUAUAGUUAGACUGCUGGGUUAAAUUCCAGCCAGAACCUUGAAAACUGCAUAAGAGAAAGAAAAAAAGCACCGCAGACACAGACAUGAAAGUGUUUCGUGGAAGCAAAAGAAAUUGUGGUCAAGCUAAUAAGGGCUAAUGGUGGAUACCUAGGCACACAGA
rnacentral:misc_RNA from 1 species